CCUACGGGAGGCAGCAGUGAGGAAUAUUGGUCAAUGGACGCGAGUCUGAACCAGCCAAGUAGCGUGAAGGAAGAAGGCCCUCGGGUUGUAAACUUCUUUUGUCAGGGACGAAACAAAUGACGGUACCUGACGAAUAAGCCACGGCUAACUACGGGCCAGCAGCCGCGGUAAUACGUAGGGGGAAAGCGUUAUACGGAUUUACUGGGUGUAAAGGGCGUGUAGGCGGGAGAGCAAGUCAGAUGUGAAAUUCAAGGGCUCAACCCUGGAACUGCAUUUGAAACUGUUUUUCUUGAGUGAUGGAGAGGCAGGCUGAAGUGCGUGGGUAGCGGUGAAAUGCGUAGAUAUACGGAGGAACACCAGUGGCGAAGGCGGCCUGCUGGACAUUAACUGACGCUGAGGCGCGAAAGCGUGGGGAGCAAACAGGAUUAGAUACCCCAGUAGUC
rnacentral:rRNA from 1 species